UGUGGAUGUAAAAGAUAUCGGGAUUAGACCUCUUUUUUCGAGGAGGUUGAAUCCAGGUAGCUCUUUGUCAUCCGGCCUUUGCCAUGACAGGUGCGCUUGCAUGGCAGGUCAUACAUAAUAAAAAAAUAGUAUAUUUUGGUUUCGAGGGGAGAUCGCACGGGGAUUGCCCGGGGUCUCUUCCCUCUCUGGUCUGUUUUCCUCUUGCUCUCUUUCUCUGCGUUCGUUUCUGCAACUUCAACCGACAGAAACUACUCCGUUCAUAGCGUUUGGCCUGAUCGUACUUCCGACAUGCAAGUUUUCGCAGUAGGAGGGAUUUCACCAAACUACCAUCACUUUAUGCUAAGGUAAAGUAAUGAUUAGGUGGUAAUAAAUGGUAUUUAAAUUUUAAAAUUGUUCAUUCACUCUUGCCUGUCUUCACCUAUUUAUCGAUUAACAAUCGACGCGUAUGUUCCAUCUUCGGUUGGAAUAUGUAACAUAACGGUUAUUUUAAAAUGCAUUAUUAGUCAUUAUUGGGGUAAGUUUGUUCUUCCGUAUCGUUUUACUAUUGAUAGUUGGAACCGUUCUAUCCUUUACCCUCUUAUUAAUUAUUUUAAUUGUUGGUCACAUCGAUCAACCUGUUCAAGGUAUUACUAUCAAGUCUGUAUUGCUUUUGGGACUUCGAACUUUGUAAUUCUUCAGUAGGUUCUGGGUUGUUUGGUUAUUAGUAGAUGGGGUCCAAAUUGAUGUGUAUGGCGUUCCUAGAAGUUCGAUGCAUCAGCUGCAAUUGUGGUAUCUCUCCAAGACGAGGUGGGUUUGACAGUAUCAAGAUAGGCUUCAGCUCUGCUACAACAUGAAGCCUGUUACGAUCUUCUGAUCUGUAAGCUCAAACCGGUAGAGCGCUGCAAAUUCUGCGAGGAAUUUGAGAGGUUGAUGGUUCGAAUCCAUCCGGAUCUGAGGGAAUAAUACUGUUUCUGCAUUAUUAAUUAGUAUGAGAGUUGCUCGUUACGUACAUUACGGAUGAACAGUCGAACAUGGUUCUUUUGGGCUCGAACCUGGGCCGAUUUUCAACUUGGUCGAAAACUAUGAUAUUGAAUGAACCCAACAGUGGGGUGGUCCCCGAAUCUACCAAUUCUGUAACGAAGUUUUGUUCAGACUGUUCUGGUUCUCUCUAGAAUUAGGUUCCUUUUCUUUUUCUUUUUUUAAUUUUAAACUUUCUAGAAUAAUUCAUGGGUUUAUCCAUUUUGUAAUAUUAUCUUCUUUAAAUUUUAAAUUUGAAUUCAAUUAUUUAAAAUUUAUCACUAUAUUUGGAAUUAGAAAUGUGACAAAAUAUACUUGACCGACCUUUAAUGCCGUAUAAUAUAAGCUAUAUCAAUAGUCAAAAGUUGGAAAAUUCAUACCUUUUUAUUUAUUUAUUUAUUUAUUUAUUCCAAAUGCCGUGUUCCGUUUGAUCUUUCCUCCGUGAAGUCACGACGAAACCGCCCAAAACGCCAAAAGUAAUUAUCGCAUUUAUUCCAUCCCAUGAGCGAUAAUAAUUCAUCCACGUUAUUCUAUCUCAGCCGUCCACUUCUCCAACCAACUCCCUCAUCGUCGCCGUCCAUCUCGUUCCCUCUCUCCAUAAAGGGUCAAGAAGUUCCCUGGCUGCCCUAAUCCAUAUGAGGAUUCUAGAAGGCUUCCUAUUCCCUUCUCUUUUUUAUUUUUCCAUUUCUCGGUCGUAGAUCUAUCGUGUUCUUAUUGUUCUCCGGUGCAGGAGGGCUAAGAAUGGAUCUUUCGACUUCUGAAGCCGUGUAUUUGCUCGCUGAUUAUUGUUUCCAACGAUUUUCGGUUGCGGAUUAUGGCUAAUGAUUCCGAUUCUGGAAGGUAUGAAGAACAUGAUGUCAGAUUUAGGAUCUGUACCGUACUGAUUGCCUUGUGGAGCAGCUACUGCUUGUCUUCGCCGGUGCAGAUGUUAGCAGUCGAAUUAAUAGGUGGUUCUUUGCUGCUGUUGGGGCGGUUCAUAAGACUGCUGUAUGAAGAGUGUACGCACCAUUCGAUGGAAUCUGUACUUUGUAUAUAUUUACCGAAAUCGCUGGAAAGGAGUGGAUGAGUGUGGCUCUUGGAUGUAAAAGGAAUCGGAGUUCAUCUUCCUAUUUGUGGAGGGUGAAUCCUGAUAUGUCUUUGUCAUCCGACCUUUGCCAUGACAGGUGCGCUUGCAUGGCAGGUCAUCGAUAAAAAAAAUAAAAGUAGUGAUGUUUUGGUUUUGAGGGAGAGACCGCACGGGGUUUGCCCGGGGUUUCUUCCUCUCUGGCUUGUGUUUUCCU